CAGCAGCCACGGUAACACGGAGGGUGCAAGCGUUAUCCGGAUUCACUGGGUUUAAAGGGUGCGUAGGCGGGCAGGUAAGUCAGUGGUGAAAUCUUCGAGCUUAACUCGGAAACUGCCGUUGAUACUAUCUGUCUUGAAUAACGUUGAGGUGAGCGGAAUAUGUCAUGUAGCGGUGAAAUGCUUAGAUAUGACAUAGAACACCGAUUGCGAAGGCAGCUCACUAAACGCUCAUUGACGCUGAGGCACGAAAGCGUGGGGAUCAAACAGGAUUAGAUACCCCUGUAGUCCCUGUCUCUUAUAC
rnacentral:rRNA from 1 species